AUCCAGGACUGUGCAGAUCGGUGGCACUAGCCCACCAACCAGCACACACUUUGUUAAUCAGAUUGUGCUCAAGGAUGGUGAAUACCUAACCGGUGUUAGUGGAACGUAUGGAAACGAUAGAGAUCGGAAGCAAGUUGAUGUUGCGACAUUGAAGAUUCAGACCAAUUUCAAUCCUCAAGGAUAUGGACCAUAUGGACAAGGAAAGGAUGUUGAUAAUUUAACUGCUUUUUCAUCGCCAAACAUAACUGAUGGUCCUGUUGUUGGAGUUUUUGGAAGGAGCGACGGCUAUAUCGAGUCAAUUGGACUUCUCGUGAGGAAGGAAUUUUCGAGCGCUAAUUAAUGACGUUCUCCAAGUCUUAGGCUACUGUAUUCAGCCAAUGGGGAUAUCUACUUUUAUUUUUGUUUCCAAUAAGCCACAAUAAGAAGUACUUAUAUUAUAUGAGUGGCCUCUCAAGCUAAGAGUGAUUGUAAUCAUAAACUUGAGUGAAUGUAUUAUUGUUACGUUGUUGGUAA